UACGAAGGGGGCUAGCGUUGCUCGGAAUCACUUGGCGUAAAGCGCACGUAGGCGGAUCUUUAAGUCAGGGGUGAAAUCCCAAGGCUCAACCUUGGAACUGCCUUUGAUACUGGGGAUCUCGAGUCCGGAAGAGGUGAGUGGAACUGCGAGUGUAGAGGUGAAAUUCGUAGAUAUUCGCAAGAACACCAGUGGCGAAGGCGGCUCACUGGUCCGGUACUGACGCUGAGGUGCGAAAGCGUGGGGAGCAAACAGG
rnacentral:rRNA from 1 species